rnacentral:ncRNA from 1 species
GGGAUACACUUAGAGUCCCCUUGUGCAGGAGUGUUAAUAGUGGAGCAUUUGGCCGUGCCCAUGGUUAGUGAAUC